UCCAUUUCCUCCAGGUAACAUCACUGCUCUGUGACUCUGCAGUACAGAAGGGUGUCUCUCACACAGAGCUGCUCCUGGCUUCUCCCCAGGAAUGUGUGCUGUGUUUGACUGGAAACUCCUCUUUCUCUUCCCUGCUGCAGAAUGUCCAGUCUGUCUGUGUUCCUCCUGGAGCUGGAGACGCACCCAGCAUCCCUGUCCAUCCACACUUCUCUCUUGAGGCAGUGAGGAGAGUUGUCUCUGGACUGAAAGAGCGACUGGAGGAUCUCUGCAAGAAGGAAUCAUUAAAGAUUUCCACGACAGUGACUGAAGUCUACAGUCUGCUGACUCCAGAGCCCGGGUCCAGAGCAGAGCUUUUACACUAUCCUGUGAAGCGAGCUCCUAUCCCGAAAUCACAAUGGCAGUGGCUGUGCAGUGCUGCAGCUGCUGUGACUCUGGACCCUGAUACAGCUCACUGUGAGCUCAGCCUGUCUGAGGAUGGGAAGAGAGUGAAACAGAGAGAGGAGGAUAGCGAUGACUGUGAUGAUGGUGAUAAGGAGGAACAGAGUCUCUCUGACAAUCCUCACAGAUUUGAUCU